rnacentral:rRNA from 1 species
GAUGAACGCUGGCGGCGUGCCUAAUACAUGCAAGUCGAGCGAACAGAUGAGGAGCUUGCUCCUCUGACGUUGGCGGCGGACGGGUGAGUAACACGUGGAUAACCUACCUAUAAGACUGGGAUAACUUCGGGAAACCGGAGCUAAUACCGGAUAAUAUAUUGAACCGCAUGGUUCAAUAGUGAAAGACGGUUUUGCUGUCACUUAUAGAUGGAUCCGCGCCGCAUUAGCUAGUUGGUAAGGUAACGGCUUACCAAGGCGACGAUGCGUAGCCGACCUGAGAGGGUGAUCGGCCACACUGGAACUGAGACACGGUCCAGACUCCUACGGGAGGCAGCAGUAGGGAAUCUUCCGCAAUGGGCGAAAGCUUGACGGAGCAACGCCGCGUGAGUGAUGAAGGUCUUCGGAUCGUAAAACUCUGUUAUUAGGGAAGAACAAAUGUGUAAGUAACUAUGCACGUCUUGACGGUACCUAAUCAGAAAGCCACGGCUAACUACGUG